GACAGAGGGUGCAAACUUUGUUCGGAAUUACUGGGCGUAAAGCGCGUAGGCGGCUCUGCAAGUCGGGUGUGAAAUCCCAUGGCUCAACUAUGGAAGUGCACUCGAAACUGCAGGGCUAGAGUCCUGGAGAGGAAGGUGGAAUGCUUGGUGUAGAGGUGAAAUUCGUAGAUAUCAAGCGGAACACCGGUGGCGAAGGCGGCCUUCUGGACAGUGACUGACGCUGAGACGCGAAAGCGUGGGGAGCAAACAGG
rnacentral:rRNA from 1 species